GUGAUGGGCCUCGGGAAGAAUGAUAUUAGAGCUUUCAAUCAUUUUACUGUUGUUGUUUUGUUGUCGGUUCCGAGGGUCAAGAGAUUUGGUGAGGCAUUGAUGGGGGAUUUGAAAAUGGUCAUUCUGACUGCUUACCGUGAUUACAAGUUUGCUAAGGGUUAAAUUUCAGUUUUAUUAUAUGCUUUGUUUUUAUUCAACCCUGAUGUGAAUUAUUUCAAUGGGAAUUACUGAAUUAGUUCAUAAUCCACUUAUUUGAUACCAUAGCAUUUGAUCUAGUGGUACUACGACUAUCCAAACGACAGCGUAGGUGAGUACCUUUCCAUGUAGUUUUUAAUUGAAACCAGGAUGUGAUCUUUUUUUCAUGUGGUUUUGGUGUGAUUUGUUCACAUCUAUCAUGGACUUUUCUUACGAAUUUAAGAAAAGAAACACAGUGCUAAAUGUCUACCUUCUCUAUCUGUAGUUUCAUUCGUGUGGAGUCAUGCAUGUUAUCUCUGGAUAAGUACUUUUUUUUUAUCUAAUGUCUAGUCUAGCUAGCUUCAUAUAAAAAUGAUCUAUUUCCAUAACCCAAGUCUUUUGACUCUAUAUCGUAUAAGGAUAUGUUGUGCACAUAGAACUUUUUUCAAUUUUUUUCAACUUUUAAUACUUACAAUUCAAUUAGCUAGCACGUCUUUUUUUUUGUGUGCAGGAAAUUAUUUUUUCUGAGACUCAAGGUUGGUAAUCGGCUUUCAGCAUUUAAUUUUCAGGGCAAACAGAUGUUGUUGAUCCAUCUGUAGUAAGAGCUUGUCUUCUAGCUUUAUUUGAAGCAUCACUCUCAUUGUAGGUGUGAUUUUGAAGAUGGUAUAUACAACAGAGGAGCUGGAAACCAAGCUUUGACAUAUUAAAAAGCAAUGUGGUCAGCCUAGCUACCUGUGAUGAUGGUAUUGAUGAGGAUUGAAUGUUCAUGAAAGGAUGUUGCAGAUUAGGCGGAUGCUAGCUAUAUGCCUUGUGCUUAUUAGAUUUUCAUAAGUUAAUUGUUUAUUAGAGCAUUGUCUAUCUUAUAUUAACACAUGAAUGUUCUUAGUUGAAGAUGUAUAAAAGAUAUUAGUAAAAGUGCUCAAGUUCAUUAGUUUGAGUUGUAAAGUUGGUGUUAU